rnacentral:rRNA from 1 species
ACGCUCGACACCUACGGGGGCAGCAGUAGGGAAUCUUCCACAAUGGGCGCAAGCCUGAUGGAGCAACACCGCGUGAGUGAAGAAGGGUUUCGGCUCGUAAAGCUCUGUUGUUGGAGAAGAACGUGCGUGAGAGUAACUGUUCACGCAGUGACGGUAUCCAACCAGAAAGUCACGGCUAACUACGUGUCAGCAGCCGCGGUAAUCUGAGCGGGCUGGCAAGGC